GACUCUGGGUGGGAAGGUGUUUAACAAAUGACAACUGGGCUUGUUUUGUUGAAAUAGUCUGGAGACCCUGGCUUUGAAUAGAAUGGAAGCCAUACAAACUUCAAAAGGAAGUUCAGAAAUUUUGAUUGGAAGUCUGUUUCUCUGUUUCUCUUUCUCUCUUUCUCUCUUUCUCUCCCUCCCUCCCCCAUCCCCCUCUUUCUUCCUCCCCCUAACCCUUCCUUCUCUCUCCCCUUCCCCCUCUGUGCACUAUUAUGAAUCAGUGCCAGUGUCCAUAUGCCAGGGUACACAUGAAGACGUCAGAGGAUGUGACGGCUAAUUAUUUUAAAUCACUUCAACCAUUUUUGAAUGUUUGCUUUUUUUAUUUUAUGUGUGUGGGUAUUUCGCCUACAUGGGUGUCUGUGCACCAUGUGGGAGCAGUGUCCUUGGAGGCUAGGCCAUUGGUUUCCUUGGAACUGGAGUUACAGAUGGUUGUUAGCUUCCAUGUAGAUGCUGGGAAUCAAACCCAGGACCGCAUUAGACUGGACACGAGAAUGCGUGGCAUUUUCUUGAUUGUUGAUUGAUGCGGGAGAGCCUAGCUCACUGAGGACGGUGCCAACCAUAGGCAAGUGGGCCAGGGCUACCUAACAGAGGUGACUGACUGAGUCUGAGAUCAGGCCUGGAAGCUGCAGUCUGCCCUGGUCUCUGCUUCACUCCUGGCCUCUAGGUCCCUGCCUUGGCUUCCUCUUUCCUCCCUGAGUUGCCUUGGUCAUGGUAAUCUCUCACAGGAACAGGAAAAGUACAUAGGACAGAAGACAAGCUCCAUGUCAGCAUUCACCUUCACCUGCUUUGAAGUAGGUCUCCAGAUUGCUAACUCUAAGGACUGGGUGAAGGCCCCUGGAGAAUGGAAGCAGACCUCAAAGCUGAAGGUGCCAGGGAAACAGAGUCACGAGACAGAGGCAGAGAGGCCAAGGCCCUGUCUUUCCCACACUGGCUGAUCCCCCCAGAUGCCGUUGUCCAUCACUAGGGCCUCCAGUGUUUCCUCUAAAAGAAAACAACUCUACUGUGCCUCACCCUCCCAGGACCUCAGGCACUCACACAGCUGCUGGAGGUCUGGGCCAAAAUCCCCUACUCCAUUGUUGCUGGAGGUGCCUGAGCCUGGCCACUGCCCAGGCCGUCCUGGGAGCUUCCUUGGACGUGGUUUCAGUUUGCUGUUAGAAAGCAGUAGCCUACAUUUUUGGCUGAUGGUCUUCAGCUUGCCUCCUCCUCCUCUGUCUCUGGAUUAAUUGCUUUUCUCAUUGCUGUGAGAAAAUACAGGGCAAAAGCAACCUUAGGAAGAAAGAAUCCUUGGCUGAUGGUGGGAGGGAACAGUCCAUGGUGGAGAGUUUGAGGCAACCAGUCAUGUUUCAUCCAAUAGAGGGAGGUGGACGCUCUGCUAGGCUCACUUUCUCCCCAGCCCGUGACAUGGGACUACCUAUAUCUAGGGUGAGUCUUCUCAUCGAAUCUAGAACAGUCCUCCCAGCCACAACCACUGCUCCAUGUACAUCUAUAAAGAGUGAUUCCAUAUCUAGUCCAGUUGGCAGUCAAGAUUAACCAGCACCUCCAUGUUUUCUCCUUCUUCCUGCAGGGAAUUCCUUGCCCCCCAUCUCUCUCUACUGGCUUCCACCCCACUCUCCAUAGAGAGGCUUAGCCCCAGGCUGCAAGGGUAAAGUCCAGGCCGCAGGAGAGCAAAGGUCCCUCCCUCUGUAGAGUUGUCUAUGUUGUUUUGGAUGAGUGACACCACGAAGAACAGAUGACCCUUCUGUCUGUUGUAUAUGGCAAGGAAAUGCUUUGUAAAGUGCAAAUGGUGUUGCAAAUGGAAGGCACAUGCUGAAGCAAAGGCCAAAAAAAAAAAAC
rnacentral:lncRNA from 1 species